rnacentral:rRNA from 1 species
CAGUCGCCGCGGUAAUACGGAGGGUGCAAGCGUUACUCGGAAUCACUGGGCGUAAAGGACGCGUAGGCGGAUUAUCAAGUCUCUUGUGAAAUCCUAUGGCUUAACCAUAGAACUGCUUGGGAAACUGAUAAUCUAGAGUGAGGGAGAGGCCGAUGGAAUUGGUGGUGUAGGGGUAAAAUCCGUAGAGAUCACCAGGAAUACCCGUUGCGAAGGCGAUCUGCUGGAACUCAACUGACGCUAAUGCGUGAAAGCGUUGGGAGCAAACAGGAUUAGAUACCCCUGUAGUCCCUGUCUAUUAUAC